rnacentral:rRNA from 1 species
UAGAGUUUGAUCCUGGCUCAGAUUGAACGCUGGCGGCAGGCCUAACACAUGCAAGUCGGACGGUAGCACAGAGGAGCUUGCUCCUUGGGUGACGAGUGGCGGACGGGUGAGUAAUGUCUGGGGAUCUGCCCGAUAGAGGGGGAUAACCACUGGAAACGGUGGCUAAUACCGCAUAACGUCGCAAGACCAAAGAGGGGGACCUUCGGGCCUCUCACUAUCGGAUGAACCCAGAUGGGAUUAGCUAGUAGGCGGGGUAAUGGCCCACCUAGGCGACGAUCCCUAGCUGGUCUGAGAGGAUGACCAGCCACACUGGAACUGAGACACGGUCCAGACUCCUACGGGAGGCAGCAGUGGGGAAUAUUGCACAAUGGGCGCAAGCCUGAUGCAGCCAUGCCGCGUGUAUGAAGAAGGCCUUCGGGUUGUAAAGUACUUUCAGCGGGGAGGAAGGCGACGGGGUUAAUAACCUUAUCGAUUGACGUUACCCGCAGAAGAAGCACCGGCUAACUCCGUGCCAGCAGCCGCGGUAAUACGGAGGGUGCAAGCGUUAAUCGGAAUUACUGGGCGUAAAGCGCACGCAGGCGGUCUGUUAAGUCAGAUGUGAAAUCCCCGGGCUUAACCUGGGAACUGCAUUUGAAACUGGCAGGCUUGAGUCUUGUAGAGGGGGGUAGAAUUCCAGGUGUAGCGGUGAAAUGCGUAGAGAUCUGGAGGAAUACCGGUGGCGAAGGCGGCCCCCUGGACAAAGACUGACGCUCAGGU